AAAUUGAAGAGUUUGAUCAUGGCUCAGAUUGAACGCUGGCGGCAGGCCUAACACAUGCAAGUCGAACGGUAGCACAGAGAGCUUGCUCUCGGGUGACGAGUGGCGGACGGGUGAGUAAUGUCUGGGAAACUGCCUGAUGGAGGGGGAUAACUACUGGAAACGGUGGCUAAUACCGCAUAACGUCGCAAGACCAAAGAGGGGGACCUUCGGGCCUCUUGCCAUCAGAUGUGCCCAGAUGGGAUUAGCUAGUUGGUGAGGUAACGGCUCACCAAGGCGACGAUCCCUAGCUGGUCUGAGAGGAUGACCAGCCACACUGGAACUGAGACACGGUCCAGACUCCUACGGGAGGCAGCAGUGGGGAAUAUUGCACAAUGGGCGCAAGCCUGAUGCAGCCAUGCCGCGUGUAUGAAGAAGGCCUUCGGGUUGUAAAGUACUUUCAGCGGGGAGGAAGGUGUUGUGGUUAAUAACCGCAGCAAUUGACGUUACCCGCAGAAGAAGCACCGGCUAACUCCGUGCCAGCAGCCGCGGUAAUACGGAGGGUGCAAGCGUUAAUCGGAAUUACUGGGCGUAAAGCGCACGCAGGCGGUCUGUCAAGUCGGAUGUGAAAUCCCCGGGCUCAACCUGGGAACUGCAUUCGAAACUGGCAGGCUUGAGUCUUGUAGAGGGGGGUAGAAUUCCAGGUGUAGCGGUGAAAUGCGUAGAGAUCUGGAGGAAUACCGGUGGCGAAGGCGGCCCCCUGGACAAAGACUGACGCUCAGGUGCGAAAGCGUGGGGAGCAAACAGGAUUAGAUACCCUGGUAGUCCACGCCGUAAACGAUGUCUACUUGGAGGUUGUGCCCUUGAGGCGUGGCUUCCGGAGCUAACGCGUUAAGUAGACCGCCUGGGGAGUACGGCCGCAAGGUUAAAACUCAAAUGAAUUGACGGGGGCCCGCACAAGCGGUGGAGCAUGUGGUUUAAUUCGAUGCAACGCGAAGAACCUUACCUGGUCUUGACAUCCACGGAAGUUUUCAGAGAUGAGAAUGUGCCUUCGGGAACCGUGAGACAGGUGCUGCAUGGCUGUCGUCAGCUCGUGUUGUGAAAUGUUGGGUUAAGUCCCGCAACGAGCGCAACCCUUAUCCUUUGUUGCCAGCGAUUAGGUCGGGAACUCAAAGGAGACUGCCAGUGAUAAACUGGAGGAAGGUGGGGAUGACGUCAAGUCAUCAUGGCCCUUACGACCAGGGCUACACACGUGCUACAAUGGCGCAUACAAAGAGAAGCGACCUCGCGAGAGCAAGCGGACCUCAUAAAGUGCGUCGUAGUCCGGAUUGGAGUCUGCAACUCGACUCCAUGAAGUCGGAAUCGCUAGUAAUCGUGGAUCAGAAUGCCACGGUGAAUACGUUCCCGGGCCUUGUACACACCGCCCGUCACACCAUGGGAGUGGGUUGCAAAAGAAGUAGGUAGCUUAACCUUCGGGAGGGCGCUUACCACUUUGUGAUUCAUGACUGGGGUGAAGUCGUAACAAGGUAACCGUAGGGGAACCUGCGGUUGGAUCACCUCCUUACCUUAAAGAA
rnacentral:rRNA from 2 species